AACGAACGCUGGCGGCAGGCCUAACACAUGCAAGUCGAGCGCGCCCUUCGGGGUGAGCGGCGGACGGGUGAGUAACGCGUGGGAACGUGCCCUUCUCUGCGGAAUAUCCUCGGGAAACUGAGAGUAAUACCGCAUACGCCCUUUGGGGGAAAGAUUUAUCGGAGAAGGAUCGGCCCGCGUUGGAUUAGGUAGUUGGUGGGGUAAUGGCCCACCAAGCCGACGAUCCAUAGCUGGUUUGAGAGGAUGAUCAGCCACACUGGGACUGAGACACGGCCCAGACUCCUACGGGAGGCAGCAGUGGGGAAUCUUAGACAAUGGGGGCAACCCUGAUCUAGCCAUGCCGCGUGAGUGAUGAAGGCCUUAGGGUUGUAAAGCUCUUUCAGCUGGGAAGAUAAUGACGGUACCAGCAGAAGAAGCCCCGGCUAACUCCGUG
rnacentral:rRNA from 1 species